rnacentral:rRNA from 1 species
UGUUUCGGCAAGGGGGUCAUCCCGACUUACCAACCCGAUGCAAACUGCGAAUACCGGAGAAUGUUAUCACGGGAGACACACGGCGGGUGCUAACGUCCGUCGUGAAGAGGGAAACAACCCAGACCGCCAGCUAAGGUCCCAAAGUCAUGGUUAAGUGGGAAACGAUGUGGGAAGGCCCAGACAGCCAGGAUGUUGGCUUAGAAGCAGCCAUCAUUUAAAGAAAGCGUAAUAGCUCACUGGUCGAGUCGGCCUGCGCGGAAGAUGUAACGGGGCUAAACCAUGCACCGAAGCUGCGGCAGCGACGCUUAUGCGUUGUUGGGUAGGGGAGCGUUCUGUAAGCCUGUGAAGGUGUGCUGUGAGGCAUGCUGGAGGUAUCAGAAGUGCGAAUGCUGACAUAAGUAACGAUAAAGCGGGUGAAAAGCCCGCUCGCCGGAAGACCAAGGGUUCCUGUCCAACGUUAAUCGGGGCAGGGUGAGUCGACCCCUAAGGCGAGGCCGAAAGGCGUAGUCGAUGGGAAACAGGUUAAUAUUCCUGUACUUGGUGUUACUGCGAAGGGGGGACGGAGAAGGCUAUGUUGGCCGGGCGACGGUUGUCCCGGUUUAAGCGUGUAGGCUGGUUUUCCAGGCAAAUCCGGAAAAUCAAGGCUGAGGCGUGAUGACGAGGCACUACGGUGCUGAAGCAACAAAUGCCCUGCUUCCAGGAAAAGCCUCUAAGCAUCAGGUAACAUCAAAUCGUACCCCAAACCGACACAGGUGGUCAGGUAGAGAAUACCAAGGCGCUUGAGAGAACUCGGGUGAAGGAACUAGGCAAAAUGGUGCCGUAACUUCGGGAGAAGGCACGCUGAUAUGUAGGUGAAGUC